ACCCGCUGGAGGGAGCCCCCGCCCCGCGCCGUGACGACUGCGGACCCGCCGAGCCCCGCUCCCGCCGCGGCCCGGGGUGCGGGCGGGCGGCCCCUCGGCGGGAGCCGGCCAGGAUGCUGGGGAGAUGAGCAAUGGAUGAUUUUGGCUUCCUCUGAAUAACUCCUGAGAGGGCAUGUGUAGUUCCUCUGUGGGAGGACAUUGUCACCUGUGUCAACAGAUUUGAGGCUUUAGCUAAACUUGUGAGAGCAAACAUUGAAGUUGUUCUACCAUCCAUUUUCAGUUCCCUCAAGUGACAGCCAUGGUGUUUAGAAGGGGAAACUUCAUCUUCAGAUCCAGAGGAGGGCUCUGGUUGCUCUAAACCACUUGGAAUAAUCCCAUUUCCCAGUCAUAGUGAUUGAUGCAGAUGUUAUAAACUCCAUGGAAGUUCGCUUAAUAGUGUCCCAUAACUGACCAUUGUCUUGAUACACACUGGGUUCAUAAGAAAGACACGGCAUGUGGAAGACACUGUGGAUGAGGUGAAUGAGGAGUUCUUCCAGCUCUCUUCUCCAGUCCUGGAGCUCCAGAAAGAGGAGGAUGAGCCAGACCCACUGCCUCCAGGUGAAGACAGCACAUUUGUGGUGGCUCCCAGCAUCUCCCCUUGUGAGUGGCAGGAAGAUAAACUUCACCCACUGGAGACAAGUGGCCCAGACGGAGAGAAGCUGGGACCCUGGGCCCUGAAGAGCCACCGGGCCCUGGAGCUGGAGGUGAGGAGAGUCCACCUGGCUCAGAGGAUUGAAGACCUGGAGUGGAAGCUGUCCUUGCUCCUUCAGGUGGCCAACAGCAGUUCGAGCAUGGGAGGGAGCUGGCUCAGCUGACAUAGCAGCCUAAGGGGCACUGAGUCACAUCAGAUGCUGCAUGGUGGCCACCUCCGGGAGGUGCCUUCUCACCGAGAACAUGAACGGGCUCCCCUGGUAGGAAGGAGUGGGCAUCUGGGGCCCGGAGUGUGUGCUGGUUUCACGACGUGCUCCUACAGGGAAACACCUGGAUUUCUUUCAGAGCCUGGACCUCAGCUUGUGCUCAAUUCUGCCUUGAACUUUCUGGGGUGGGGGAAAAUAAACUGACAUGGGUUGACAAAA